UACAGAGGUCCCAAGCGUUGUUCGGAUUCAUUGGGCGUAAAGGGUGCGUAGGUGGCCAACUAAGUCAUACGUGAAAUCCCUCGGCUUAACCGGGGAACUGCGUCUGAUACUGGAUGGCUUGAGGUUGGGAGAGGGAUGCGGAAUUCCAGGUGUAGCGGUGAAAUGCGUAGAUAUCUGGAGGAACACCGGUGGCGAAGGCGGCAUCCUGGACCAAUUCUGACACUGAGGAGCGAAAGCCAGGGGAGCAAACGGG
rnacentral:rRNA from 1 species